rnacentral:rRNA from 1 species
GUGAGGAAUUUUCCGCAAUGGGCGAAAGCCUGACGGAGCAAUGCCGCGUGAAGGAUGAAGGCCUAUGGGUUGUAAACUUCUUUUCUCAGAAAAGAAUUAUGACGGUAUCUGAGGAAUAAGCAUCGGCUAACUCUGUGCCAGCAGCCGCGGUAAGACAGAGGAUGCAAGCGUUAUCCGGAAUGAUUGGGCGUAAAGCGUCUGUAGGUUGUUUAAAAAGUAUUCUGUCAAAGAUUAGGGCUUAACCCUAGAUAGGCAGAAUAAACUUUUAAGCUAGAGUUUGGUAGAGGCAGAGGGAAUUCCCGGUGGAGCUGUGAAAUGCGUAGAUAUCGGGAGGAACACCAAUGGCGAAGGCACUCUGCUGGGCCAAUACUAACACUGAGAGACGAAAGCGAGGGGAGCAAAUGGGAUUAGAAACCCGUGUAGUCC